GACGAACGCUGGCGGCGUGCUUAAUACAUGCAAGUCGAACGGAAAGGCGCGGCUCUUGCGGGUUGCUCGAUUGGCGCACGGGUGAGUAACACGCGAGUAUCCCCCCCUUAUCUUUGUGAUAACAUUAGGGAACUGCGGCGAUUACCGGAUAUGAUCUUUUGCACCACGGUGGGGGAAGGUGAGAGUCGGCGGUUGGGUCUCGUCUCGCGGCUUAUCAGCUUGUUGGUGAGGUUGGGACGUACAAGGGUUGUGACGGGUAGCCGGCCUGAGAGGGUGACCGGGCACAAUGGGACUGAGAUACGGCGCAGUCUCCUACGUGAGGCAGCAGGGGGGAGUAUUACGCAAUGAGCGGAAGCCAGAUGCAGCGGCGCCGCGUGCGGGAUGACGGCCUUCGGGUGAUAAACCGAUUUCGCCUGUGCCGAAGCGUGAGUGACGGUAAUGGGUAAAGAAGCACCGGCUAACUACGUG
rnacentral:rRNA from 1 species